GUGGGGAAUCUUAGACAAUGGGGGAAACCCUGAUCUAGCCAUGCCGCGUGAUCGAUGAAGGCCUUAGGGUUGUAAAGAUCUUUCAGUUGGGAAGAUAAUGACGGUACCAACAGAAGAAGCCCCGGCUAACUCCGUGCCAGCAGCCGCGGUAAUACAGAGGUGGCAAGCGUUGUUCGGAAUUACUGGGCGUAAAGGGCGCGUAGGCGGCCAUCUAAGUCAGACGUGAAAUCCCCCGGCUCAACCUGGGAACUGCGUCUGAUACUGGAAGGCUUGAGUUUGGGAGAGGGAUGUAGAAUUCCAGGUGUAGCGGUGAAAUGCGUAGAUAUCUGGAGGAAUACCGGUGGCGAAGGCGGCAUCCUGGACCAAUACUGACGCUGAGGCGCGAAAGCUAGGGGAGCAAACGGGAUUAGAAACCCGAGUAGUCC
rnacentral:rRNA from 1 species